GACGAACGCAGGCGGCGUGCCUAAUACAUGCAAGUCGAGCGGAAUGAUGAAGAAGCUUGCUUCUUCUGAUUUUAGCGGCGGACGGGUGAGUAACACGUGGGCAACCUACCUUGUAGAUUGGGAUAACUCCGGGAAACCGGGGCUAAUACCGAAUAAUCCAUUUUGCUUCAUGGCGAGAUGUUGAAAGACGGUUUCGGCUGUCACUACAAGAUGGGCCCGCGGCGCAUUAGCUAGUUGGUAGGGUAAUGGCCUACCAAGGCGACGAUGCGUAGCCGACCUGAGAGGGUGAUCGGCCACACUGGGACUGAGACACGGCCCAGACUCCUACGGGAGGCAGCAGUAGGGAAUCUUCCACAAUGGACGAAAGUCUGAUGGAGCAACGCCGCGUGAGUGAAGAAGGUUUUCGGAUCGUAAAACUCUGUUGUAAGGGAAGAACACGUACGAGAGUAACUGCUCGUACCUUGACGGUACCUUAUUAGAAAGCCACGGCUAACUACGUG
rnacentral:rRNA from 1 species